CCUACGGGGGGCAGCAGUGAGGAAUAUUGGUCAAUGGUCGCGAGCCUGAACCAGCCAAGUAGCGUGAAGGAUGACUGUCCUACGUAUUGUCAACUUCUUUUGUAAAGGAAUAAAGUGAGGCACGUGUGCCUGUUUGUGUGUACUUUAUGAAUAAGCAUCGGCUAACUCCGUGCCAGCAGCCGCGGUACUACGGAGGAUCCGAGCGUUAUCCGGAUUUAUUGGGUUUAAAGGGAGCGUAGAUGGGUUGUUAAGUCAGUUGGGAAAGUUUGCGGCUCAACCGUAAAAUUGCAAUUGAUACUGGCAGUCGUGAGUACAGUUGAGGUAGGCGGAAUUCGUGGUGUAGCGGUGAAAUGCUUAGAUAGCACGAAGAACUCCGAUUGCGAAGGCAGCAUACUAAACUGCCACUGACAUUGAUGCGCGAAAGUGUGGGUAUCAAACAGGAUUAGAUACCCUUGUAGUC
rnacentral:rRNA from 1 species